rnacentral:rRNA from 1 species
GAUGAACGCUGGCGGCGUGCCUAAUACAUGCAAGUCGAGCGAACAGACGAGGAGCUUGCUCCUCUGACGUUAGCGGCGGACGGGUGAGUAACACGUGGAUAACCUACCUAUAAGACUGGGAUAACUUCGGGAAACCGGAGCUAAUACCGGAUAAUAUAUUGAACCGCAUGGUUCAAUAGUGAAAGACGGUUUUGCUGUCACUUAUAGAUGGAUCCGCGCCGCAUUAGCUAGUUGGUAAGGUAACGGCUUACCAAGGCAACGAUGCGUAGCCGACCUGAGAGGGUGAUCGGCCACACUGGAACUGAGACACGGUCCAGACUCCUACGGGAGGCAGCAGUAGGGAAGCUUCCGCAAUGGGCGAAAGCCUGACGGAGCAACGCCGCGUGAGUGAUGAAGGACUUCGGAUCGUAAAACUCUGUUAUUAGGGAAGAACAAAUGUGUAAGUAACUAUGCACGUCUUGACGGUACCUAAUCAGAAAGCCACGGCUAACUACGUG